rnacentral:misc_RNA from 1 species
AAAGAAAAAAAAAAAAAAAAAAUGUUUUAUUUGUACAACACGAAGAAACUCUCCAAUGGAUACUGAAUCCAUGCGACAAACUUUCUCAUUUAUAUGGCCCCAUUUUCUUCUUCCGAACCAGUAUAUAUAAAGCAUUCUAUUGUUGUUAGCUGUAACGUAAGAGAAAGGAGGAGGAGAGAAGGGAAGACUCGAACUACUGGACCUCUUGCUUCCACCUCAGUGACGAGUCUAAACCUCAAAUUAUGCAGCCCAUGUUCGUACUUCAUACCACAAACUUAUGUGCAAGAAAUAUUUGAAGAUGUACACGUUUUUUUGAAGCUUAUGUUGUUUUUAGUUCUUUCAAAUAAGGUCAGAAGAAAUAG